rnacentral:lncRNA from 1 species
CGCCAGCCGCUCGCCGGAGAAGACGAACCAGAGACCGACCGCCGCCACCCGCCGCCACUCGCCGCCGCACCGGGGAAAUUUCCGACCGCCGAUCGAGGUAAAUUUCAUACCCCCGACUCGUUUUUCUCCACUGAUUCCUCCUAUGGCCAAAUCGAAGCCGAAAUCCCGGCCAAACGGCCGGAAUACGCGGCCGAAGCCCAGCGGC